UACAGAGGUCCCAAGCGUUGUUCGGAUUCAUUGGGCGUAAAGGGUGCGUAGGCGGCGCGGUAAGUCGGGUGUGAAAUCUUGGAGCUUAACUCCGAAACUGCAUUCGAUACUGCCGUGCUUGAGGACUGGAGAGGAGACUGGAAUUUACGGUGUAGCGGUGAAAUGCGUAGAUAUCGUAAGGAAGACCAGUGGCGAAGGCGGGUCUCUGGACAGUUCCUGACGCUGAGGCACGAAGGUCAGGGAGCAAACGGG
rnacentral:rRNA from 1 species